CCUAAUUGUAUUUUAGAAAGUAACCCAGUUGGAUAAUCAAAGCAAGGAGCAAGUAAAGGAAGUAAAAAUUAUAAACGGAAUAAUAAACACAAACACACAAUACUCAAGUAUGAUGGAAAAACAAAAGGACGUGGCUGAGUAGCAUAAAUCAAUUAGCAGCAGUAACUCUUAAUUUUUUCAACUCCUUGCAAAAACUAAGUCAUGCCAAUUGCCAAUUAUUCCAUAAAAACAUAACAGGAAAUGCCUACAAGAUAAGAAAGAAUCACAANNNNNNNNNNNNNNNNNNNNNNNNNNNNNNNNNNNNNNNNNNNNNNNNNNNUGCCAAAGAAUAGUAUCAGUUUUACUUAUGAUAUAUACUAAGCAUUAGACACAUUUUCUAAUUCUACCAAAUGCUAACUAAAGACAAACAAAAGGGUAUGCUCUAAGCUAAAGAAAAACAAAACUUCUAUACUCACAAUAAAUGGUGUCUGACAAUACAUCACGUUCAAUUUAAAUUUUCCACAUGCUAACUUAAGGGUUCAAGAAACCAACCAUAUUAUUUCAAACUUUACCUUCUCGCAUGACAAAUAGAAAAUUCCUUUGAUUAAAGCAACCAAUCCUUAGUGCCAUUGAGUUUGUAAUAUAUCCUGAAAGUUAUGAUAAUAAUCAUUACAUGUGAAUUGGUAAAAAGUCUUAAAACACAAGGGAACUAAGAAACCAUCCAACAACUUAUAGUUAGCAAACAAGCACAACAACUUUCAAGAACUAUCAAAUAAAGAGUAUGCAAUCCAACAAAAAUAUAUUAUAAACUUACAUAACCAUCAAAAGUGGUAAUUCAGAUUUAGAAUGCUUUCCUACAUGUUCCCAAUCUCUAUAUCCAAAACAUGUACAUACACGGGAGAGUUUCCAACAAUCAGAAUGGCAAAGAUAAAAUUAGGGAUUUCAGCUAUUUCAAAGACAAAUUUCCACGAGAGUAUGACUCUAUUUGACAAAAAUUAGCGGAUAUUGAAAAGUAGAUUAAAGUACCUUACCAAAAGCACCCCUUUAUACCUUAUUUCAUCUAUUUAACUAGAAUAAAUUAUCACUGAUGUUAAAUAAGUUACUGAUAACUAAAUGUGUGGAGAAAUCUACAAGCAUCAAGAACGUGGGAAACAAUUGUCUAAUCGCAAAUUCUGGACAGAACUACCAGAUUCCAAAUCGAAGCUUAGAAACCACAGUAUUACACAUCAUAGAAAAUUGAGAUUGAGAUAAACAUAGUUCGGAUCUACUUACUGAAGAAAUAGGGAUACAUAUUGAUUAAGACAUGAACGUGAUGAUGGCGGCAACAACGAAGAGAACUGUUGAAAAACCCUUGAAAACUCUGAAAGCAAACUGAAGCAAAACAAAAGGAAAAUUAGAAUCAGAAUCUAUUGAAGAAUGAGAAGACUAGAAUCGAAAGGAAAACCGAUUUAACCUUGAAAACUCUG
rnacentral:lncRNA from 1 species